rnacentral:rRNA from 1 species
AGCGAACGCUGGCGGCAGGCUUAACACAUGCAAGUCGAGCGGCGUAGCAAUACGUCAGCGGCAGACGGGUGAGUAACGCGUGGGAACAUACCUUUUGGUUCGGAACAACACAGGGAAACUUGUGCUAAUACCGGAUAAGCCCUUACGGGAAAGAUUUAUCGCCGAAAGAUUGGCCCGCGUCUGAUUAGCUAGUUGGUGAGGUAAUGGCUCACCAAGGCGACGAUCAGUAGCUGGUCUGAGAGGAUGAUCAGCCACAUUGGGACUGAGACACGGCCCAAACUCCUACGGGAGGCAGCAGUGGGGAAUAUUGCGCAAUGGCCGCAAGGCUGACGC